rnacentral:rRNA from 1 species
UACAGAGGUCUCAAGCGUUGUUCGGAUUCAUUGGGCGUAAAGGGUGCGUAGGUGGCGCGAUAAGUCGGGUGUGAAAUCUCGGAGCUUAACUCCGAAAUUGCAUUCGAUACUGCCGUGCUCGAGGACUGGAGAGGAGACUGGAAUUCAUGGUGUAGCAGUGAAAUGCGUAGAGAUCAUGAGGAAGACCAGUGGCGAAGGCGGGUCUCUGGACAGUUCCCGACACUGAGGCACGAAGGCCAGGGGAGCAAACGGG